rnacentral:rRNA from 1 species
GAAACCGUGAUAAGGGAACCCCGAGUGCCCGUAAAUUCGGGCUGUCCGCCAGUGCAAAUAGCUGGUGAAGAAAGGGCCGGGCAAGACCGGUGCCAGCCGCCGCGGUAAUACCGGCGGCUCGAGUGGUGGCCACUAUUACUGGGCUUAAAGCGUCCGUAGCUUGAUUGUUAAGUCUCUUGGGAAAUCCACCGGCUCAACCGAUGGGCGUUCAGGAGAAACUGGCAAUCUAGGGACCGGGAGAGGUGAGAGGUACUCCAGGGGUAGGAGUGAAAUCCUGUAAUCCUUGGGGGACCACCUGUGGCGAAGGCGUCUCACUAGAACGGCUCCGACAGUGAGGGACGAAAGCUGGGGGAGCAAACCGGAUUAGAUACCCGGGUAGUCCCAGCUGUAAACGAUGCGCGUUAGGUGUAUCGGUGACCACGAGUCAUCGAGGUGCCGAAGGGAAACCGUGAAACGUG